CCUACGGGUGGCAGCAGUGGGGAAUAUUGGGCAAUGGGCGCAAGCCUGACCCAGCAACGCCGCGUGAAGGAAGAAGGUCUUCGGGUUGUAAACUUCUUUUCUGAGGGACGAAGAAAGUGACGGUACCCCAGGAAUAAGCCACGGCUAACUACGUGCCAGCAGCCGCGGUAAUACGUAGGUGGCAAGCGUUAUCCGGAUUGAUUGGGUGUAAAGGGUGCGUAGGUGGGAAAGUAAGUCAGAUGUGAAAACGCAGGGCUCAACCCUGGGCCUGCCUUUGAAACUGUUAUACUUGAGUGCUGGAGAGGUAAGCGGAAUUCCGGGUGUAGCGGUGAAAUGCGUAGAUAUACGGAGGAACACCAGGGGCGAAGGCGGAUUGCUGGACAGUAACUGACGCUGAGGCACGAAAGCGUGGGGAGCAAACAGGAUUAGAUACCCUAGUAGUC
rnacentral:rRNA from 1 species